AAUGAGUCUAAAACGCUAAGCUCGUUCCAGAACCCAAUGUUGUCACCAAUGGCGGUUCACUAAUCAUCCACCAAACCGAUAAUAAAUCAGUAACACAGAACGAAUCACAUACCUCUUUGAUUGUUUCCAGCAACUUAGAAAAGUAAUUAACCCAGCAAGGCAGCAACUCAGCAAGUGUAAAAUGGCGGACGAUACAGAAAAGAGAUUCCACACUAUAAUGGACAAACUCUUCCAAACCCCCAAAUCUAAUCUCCCUAUCUCUUCAAGUUCGACAAAUGCAAACAAUACAAGAGUUCAGAAGCGCCCGUUUUCAGCCAUGGAAACGAAUUCAAAAGGAGAAAAAGGUGGUAGUCAAAAUACAGCUCAUGUUCCUCAAUGUAGACCUUGGGAUAGGGGAGAUCUCAUGAGAAGGGCAGCUACUUUCAAAUCCAUGAGAUGGUUCGCUAAACCCAAGGCCGUGGAUGCUAUAAGUUGUGCAAGGAGAGGUUGGGUUAAUGUAGAUGUGGACAUCAUAGGUUGUGAAGUGUGUGGAGCACGUCUGCAGUUUUCUACCCCUUCAGCUUGGAACCAACAACAAGUUGAGAAAGCGGCUUUAGUAUUUAGCUUGAAGUUGGAUUCAGGACACAAGCUGCUUUGUCCGUGGAUUGACAAUGCUUGUGAUGAAAAAUUGGCAUUAUUUCCACCUAUGCCACUGCCAGUGUUGGUCAAUCACUAUAAACAAUGUUCUUCUGCAUUGUUGCAACUUGCAGCUCUUCCCGUAAUUUCUACUUCAGUGAUUGAGAGCAUGAAAAGUCCUGAACUGGAACAUUUUCUCAAACAGUCAAUCGACGUGGAAUGUGGUGAUGCACCUAAUGACUCUUCUUGGACCGACUAUCUUGGAAAUGAUGUUGACGUAGUUUCUGCUGAUUUGUACUAUCAGGCUCAUAGGUUAUUAAGUUUAUGUGGAUGGGAACCUCGGUUGCUUCCAUACAUUGUUGAUUGUGAAAACCAGCCAAAAAUGUCUAGUAGCAAUGAAAACUUCUCCCAGUUGUCCCAUGGAGCAGAUGAUGUGCAGAGCAAUAAAUUGUCUGUAUGUGUGUCUGGUUCUACUGGAAGCAUUAGGGCAGAUAAAGAUCAUGACACUUCAAGUGUCUAUUAUGAUCCAAAUUCUAUUGUAUUGGAUUGCAAGCUUUGUGGGGCAAGCAUUGGGUUAUGGGCUUUUACAAUGGUUCCUCGGCCACUAGAAUUGGUUAGAGUUGUUGGUUUUGCUGAACUAGGCAGUGGAGGUGAUCCUGACGACAAACACACUGCAAAUGGAAAUCAUGCCAACGGAAAAAGUGAUAUUGCUUCUGCAAAUGAAGAAACUUCAUCAAAUAAAAGAGUGCUGAAUUUGACGAUUGCUGGUGGGCCGCCUCCAACAAAACAGAACUUUAGAGCAAAAAUCUCCUUACCUAUUAUCGGUCGUAAUGUGAAGGCUCGACUUUCUUGCUUAUCAUCAGAUGUAAAAUCUGGUGAUGAUGAGGCACCUACAUCUCUUAAUGUCAGUAUGGAAGGUUCAUCUAUGGACACACAGAAUGUAGAGAUUGAAUCUGGUGUUUGUGCUUCCAAGACACAAGAUAACACACCAUCAGCAACCGGAGAUGAUAUUGAUAAUUCACAGGAUAAUACGGCUUUGAGAGAGGAUAUAUCAAGCAUACCUAGUGGAGAAGAAAAAAGGAAUAGAGUAGGAGACGUGGAAAAUACUGCUUCACUAAAUGACGCCUCAACUGUAAGCAUAGAAAAAAAUACGACAGAACAUCUAUGCAAUAAAAAAACGGAGUUUCAUCCAAUUAAGCAGCAUAGACAUUUUUGCCCUUGGGUUUCAUCAACGGAGAACAUAACGCCAGGAUGGAAACAAACAUUAUCAGCUCUGCAAAAGGAGAAAGUAUUUUCACUUCCAGAAUCCGAGUGUUCUCCUUCAUCUCCGUCCCUGAUCAUGGUUGAUGACCCUAUUACAUCUAUUAGAAGGCUUUUCGAGUCCCCACCAGCCAAAAAGCGCAAACUUGCUUUAACAUAAUAGUCAGUUUGGUGUAUACUACUAGGUGCUGGUGUGCUGCUGAGAGUUUAUCAAGAAAAUACUGGUGGUGUAAUAGGACGGCCGGCCUGUGUUUGGGAUGCGCGAAUAUUCAUUAUGCAGUUUAUCCUUUGGUAUUUGAAGGGCUAUUACCUAUUGAAAAAAAAAUUAAAAUUCUAUGCGGUAAUUCUAAAGUUUUGGGUUUUUUACGUAGUAACCAAAACUUUUAAAAAAUGCACGCGGUAAUCCUAAGGUUUAUCAAAUUGUUUCAGUGUGAACUUUUUGCACAUAAAAUGUUAGCAAAUAUUAAUUUCGAAGCUUUAAGGUUGUUGUACGCUUAUGUAUGUGAUUCAAUUUUUCAAAUUUCAUCAGUUUCAACCUUUUCCUCCAAAAUAUAAACUCUAACUCUACCAUCUUUCAUCCAAAUCAUAUAUUUUCCUCCAAAUUCAAAUAUAAUACUUGAAAUGGUGAGUUAAGGUUUAUGUUUGGGGAAAUGGUUAAAACUGAUAAAAUUUAAAAUAGUAAGUCGCAUAAAUAGGCGUACACUUUAAAGCUUCGAAAUUAAUGUUUGUUUAUGUUUUCUCUGUAAAAAAAGGUCACAGUGAAACAGUUUGAGGGUUAUAGUUUCGGUUAAUGGAAGGAUCGUACCGAAUAUGAUGAUGAUAGUGAAUUUAGAUACAAAAACUCUGAAAAAAUUGGAUUAAUAUUGACAUCAUGUGAUGUUGGAACUUUUUCAAGGAAGUAUAGAGUUGGACUUCAAAAAAAAUUCCCUCUCAAAAUAACAUGUUUAGUUUCUUGUACAAAUGCACGAAAUAUCUUAGUCUCAAUUAUUACUACUAGCUUCUUAUAAGUAAU